CUCUUUUAACGAUAAUAAUAUUAUUUGUCAAAAGUAAUUACAUUAUUUUCUUACAAAUAUAGCAACACUGCGAAACAUCAUUUCGCUAUCCCUGCAGUAACAUUGUGUACGGUGCAAAAAGUCAGAAUCAACCAAUCAGGAGCUGGAACAUUCUGAUGUAAAAUUGGAACAAAAACGACCCCCUCUAUUGUCAUGUCUUGUCUCAGGACUAAAUGAAAUUUCCGGAAGAAUCGCUUUCCCUUCAUCUGUGAGUAUAAUCUGCAAUGUAUGGUAGAUUCCCGGGUUGAAGGAGAAAAAGUGCUGAAACCUCCGGACGACAGUCUAAUCGAAAGCUAUGUGCUCAAUAUUAUUGUUGGUUUGGGCAUGCUAUGCCAGAUGAUGUGAAAUUAUUCACUUAUGUUGUACUGCGACGCUCAGGUAUCCGAUGAGGACAACACAGGAAGCUUCUUUUUCAGUAGUUUUUAUUCUAGCAAUGACGGUUGCUCGGAGCUUUUGCUUUUAUUAAAAUCAUCCACAUUGGCUCAUUGAAAUACUGAAAGCCACUCAUGUGCAACCUCUUAUUGUGCAAUAAGCUAGAAGAGCGUUAACCAGGGAUGCCAAGUGUUUUUCCAGAAAAUCUGUAUUUUUUUUUGAAAAUGUCUGGAAUUGUCUGGAUGGGCUAUUUUUUAGGAAGCUCCAUCUAUGAGCUGUAUUUGUACAUUUUAUUGAUGGAAUAUGCUUGGUUGUCAUACAAAUAUGUCUCGACAUACUGAAAAUUCUAUAGUUGCGCUCCCUUUUAUAUUUCAAAUGCUUAAUUUUCAGCAUAGAGAAUCCGUGAAAUAGAUUGAAUUUGAAUUUCUAGGGAUUCAGCAUUUUGGAUUGCCGGAACAUCCAGCUGACGAAAAUUCGGAAAAUUUAGGUGACUUUCAGCGGAAAAACUUUGAUAUGUGGUGUUCCCAACUAUUUUCAAAUAGUGGUUUAAAAAUCAACGAAGCCUUCUUGUAUUUUAUUUAGUUAUUUUUCAUAUUGUCUGGAUAAAUUUGGACAAAAUCUCUGAAAUCUGGAUCAGACAAAAAUAAAUCUGUAUGUCUGGACGACGCUUAAAAAUCUGGAGGAAUCCAGAGAAAUCUGGAAGGUUGGCAUCCCUGGCGUUAACUUAGUGAAGCAAGUUGGUGUAUGUUUGGCUAACAAUUCUAUCACAUGGCAAAGCUGUGCUGGAAGUCGCCGAACCGAAUACUUGAAAAAUAAUGCAGGUGGCGGCAAAUUCGACAUGUAUAUCAGAAACCUUUCUUACAACAGAAUGAUUUGAUUAGACACGUGCUAUUCACUAGCUACACAGAAAAGUAUGGAUUUGCUUAUAAUCGCUCAAAGCUCUUUGCCUUCAGCGAUAUUGUUUCCGGCUGAUUUUGAUCGACCAUCAAAUGGAACACAUAAAUCAACGUUUGACACGCUUUUACGCGUGCGAAUUUCUCAGCUAACUGACAAAAUGCACAUAGUAUUUCCCGUUAUUGAACAAGCUGAUUAGCUUUGACUUGCUACACUUUCAAAAGCUCUUCCGUUAGGCCGUCCUAAUUGCGUGCUGGAUAUAUAGGUCAGUACCGGGUCUAGUUACGGUCACGCUCCACCAUACAUUUACAAACGCUUUUCAUGACCGGCAAUCAUUCGGGUCAGUACUCAAUCAACCAGAAACCGAUAGCGCAACCUCCGCACUACAAACUUUAUCAAACAUCAAAUUGAAACUAUAACUACACAAAACAGAAGAAGCUUGUUAAAUUCAAAACAUAACCGGUACGCUGAAUUUGGUGAUAGAUUGAUAUUUCAGGCGAAGUAUAUGACCCUGUGAAAAGAGGAUAACAUCGAUAGCAUGAGCGGAUCUCCAACUAACCAAUAAGCCAACGGACUACUACUGCACUCCAUUGGUACUCCUGGGAUGACUACUCAAGAUAAUCAGGUUCAUUCACAGUCAACAGGAUUGCCUGUUCAUCACGGUAGUAUUAGUGGCGGUUUAGGGGAACAAGGGGUAAUAUCGUCAUGUUAGGCACCCUUGUUUACGAAUAAAAUAUGAAUCAUUUUCGAUUUUUUUUGCCCAUCGUCGUUAGAAGAUGUGAUAUUUCAAUUAUUGAAUAUAACCAGUAUUUAGUCACAAAAAUACAAAAAUAUCGAGAUGACAAAAAACGAAAAGUGUUUGAAAUAAGAAUUCACAUAAUGUAUGCUUACCAUUCCUGGAAUAUUUUACCUAUUUUUAACUAAUUGUAUAUAAAAAAUCCUUUUCUGUGACAUGAUUUUUUGCUUCUCAAGCUCGUUCAUAUUGCCCCACAUGAAAUAGCAAACCAGAAGUCGGUAAUCGCAGCCAACGAUUAUUUUCAAAGAUUUGGUAAAUUCCUCAGCUUGUUUUAAUUUUUUAAUUGCGAAAAUAGCUGUGUAGUUGAAACUACGGAAAUUAUUGAAUCAAUGAUACAUAAAUUGGCUUGUCCUUGGUCAACAAAUGCUGAAUUCUCGUUUUCACAUAGCUCCAAAGAUGGAGUGGGGUAAUUUGUACCCCAGUGCAACGUUCUAUGGUUAAUUUACAGGUAGUUUUUGCUGUGAGAUUUGUUUUAUUGCAUUCAAUACAUGAAUUUCUGUUGCAGUUAACUCAAUGAGAAUUGAAGUGUUUAUCACAUACCUUUGGCUAGAUCUGAUGAUAAUCGAUGUAUAGCAUGAUGUAUAGCAAAGAGUGAUACUCUAUGGGCUAAUAUAUCAAAUCUAUACAUGCUGAUAGAAGGUUAUAUAUUCCUAACAUACAGUUAAAAAAGAUAUCCUUUAGGUUGCACGUGGAAGAUAUUUGUGUAUGCUCAAGGCAACGAUGUUUUGCUAAUCAUUUUAAUUACCAGUGGCACAUUUUCAAUAAGGGAGAGUGGAUAUAGAAGGACCACUAAGGACAUUAUUUGUGUUGUUAGCUCUUUCGGUGACCUAGCCUCACACGCAUUUACGAUAAUAUCAACACAACACACCCAAAAAUAAUCCAAAGUUUAGGGUCCCUAACAACCCGUGUUGAAGAAAUGGUUGAAAAAAUUGGAACGGGGCUUCACAGUUUAAAAUCAAAGUUUGUAUGGAGAACUAGGAAUGUUCAGUAGGGAACAUUUGAAGGAAAAUGGUCAUCUUAAAUUUUUGCAUGAAAUCAAAUAUAAUAUGUUUAUUAGGUACAUCGUAACUUUUUUGCUCAAUCGGAAAUCAUUAAGGGGUGCUACGUUCAAAAUUUCAAUUUUUAAUCUCUGAAAAAACCUCUGUAAAAUUUUAAAGAUCAAAAAUUCCGUCUCGAAGGAAAAAUGACAUUAAAUAGCACUUCCU